rnacentral:rRNA from 1 species
GUGCCAGCAGCCGCGGUAAGACAGAGGGUGCAAACGUUGUUCGGAAUUACUGGGCGUAAAGCGCGUGUAGGCGGUUUGGUAAGUCGGAUGUGAAAGCCCGGGGCUCAACCCCGGAAGUGCAUUCGAUACUACCGAGCUAGAGUACUGGAGAGGAUGGUGGAACUCUCGGUGUAGAGGUGAAAUUCGUAGAUAUCGAGAAGAACACCGGUGGCGAAGGCGGCCAUCUGGACAGAUACUGACGCUGAGACGCGAAAGCGUGGGGAGCAAACAGGAUUAGAAACCCCUGUAGUCC